rnacentral:snRNA from 1 species
AUGCUCGCUUCAGCAGCACAUAUACUAAAAUUGGAACGAUACAGAGAAGAUUAGCAUGGCCCCUGUGCAAGGAUGACAUGCAAAUUCGUGAAGCAUUCCAUAUUUUU